rnacentral:tRNA from 1 species
AUUCUUAAUAGAUCUUGUAAA